GACGAACGCUGGCGGCGUGCUUAACACAUGCAAGUCGAACGGAAAGGCCCUGCUUUUGUGGGGUGCUCGAGUGGCGAACGGGUGAGUAACACGUGAGUAACCUGCCCUUGACUUUGGGAUAACUUCAGGAAACUGGGGCUAAUACCGGAUAGGAGCUCCUGCUGCAUGGUGGGGGUUGGAAAGUUUCGGCGGUUGGGGAUGGACUCGCGGCUUAUCAGCUUGUUGGUGGGGUAGUGGCUUACCAAGGCUUUGACGGGUAGCCGGCCUGAGAGGGUGAGCGGCCACAUUGGGACUGAGAUACGGCCCAGACUCCUACGGGAGGCAGCAGUGGGGAAUAUUGCACAAUGGGCGGAAGCCUGAUGCAGCAACGCCGCGUGCGGGAUGACGGCCUUCGGGUUGUAAACCGCUUUCGCCUGUGACGAAGCGUGAGUGACGGUAAUGGGUAAAGAAGCACCGGCUAACUACGUG
rnacentral:rRNA from 1 species